GCAUAUGCUUCCUCUUUAGCAGAAACUACCUUUAGACCCUGUACGGAGGUUUACCCUAUACUCUGUCAAAACUCAUACAAAUCAUCACCCACAAGGUUUUCAUCACCACUUUCAAAAAGAUCAGACUAGAAGUAUGGAAAACCAUGGGGAAAGGACCACAGGAGACAACCAAAGUGCCUAUCAGAGAUGUCAAUACAGUCGCUGGGCCCAGACUGCUUGAUUCUCCAGCUAGGACUGCAAAGUAGUCUUCAAAUGAGAAUAGCAUCAUCAAGAAUCUGAAACAACACACAAGCUACUUCUUGCAAAUAGAGAAACUCCUUUCUCUUUACUUUCAUGAUGGCCUGUAGAGGAAUUUCUAUCCGAAAAAAAUACUCCUAGUUCCUCUCUGCUGCCUCAGUCUCCCAGAAAAGAAUUACUUUUCUGGUUAGAGCUGAUUAUGCUCAAUUUAACCAUUUUUUUCUCUCCUAAUUCCAUAUCUGCAUAUUUGUAGGAAGGAUCCACUCAGGUAUCUCUCUCUACAUAGACCAGGUUCACUGGUUGCCCAACCUUGCCAGGGACUGGCUGAAUAAGUCUGCC
rnacentral:lncRNA from 1 species